rnacentral:rRNA from 1 species
GAUGAACGCUGGCGGCGUGCUUAACACAUGCAAGUCGAACGAAGCACCUUGAUUCGAUUCUUCGGAUGAAGAUCUUGGUGACUGAGUGGCGGACGGGUGAGUAACGCGUGGGUAACCUGCCUCAUACAGGGGGAUAACAGUUAGAAAUGACUGCUAAUACCGCAUAAGACCACAGCACCGCAUGGUGCAGGGGUAAAAACUCCGGUGGUAUGAGAUGGACCCGCGUCUGAUUAGGUAGUUGGUGGGGUAACGGCCUACCAAGCCGACGAUCAGUAGCCGACCUGAGAGGGUGACCGGCCACAUUGGGACUGAGACACGGCCCAAACUCCUACGGGAGGCAGCAGUGGGGAAUAUUGCACAAUGGGGGAAACCCUGAUGCAGCGACGCCGCGUGAGCGAUGAAGUAUUUCGGUAUGUAAAGCCCUAUCAGCAGGGAAGAAAAUGACGGUACCUGACUAAGAAGCACCGGCUAAAUACGUG